rnacentral:rRNA from 1 species
AUUGAACGCUGGCGGCAGGCCUAACACAUGCAAGUCGAACGAGUGGCGUACGGGUGAGUAAUGUCUGGGAAACUGCCCGCUGGAGGGGGAUAAAUAAUGGAAACGGUAGCUAAUACCACACACCCUCGGAUGUGCCCCGAUGGGAUUAGCUAGUAGGUGGGGUACAGGCGCACCGAGGCGACGAUCCCUAGCUGGUCUGAGAGGAUGACCAGCCACACUGGAACUGAGACACGGUCCAGACUCCGACGGGAGGCAGCAGUGGGGAAUAUUGCACAAUGGGCGCAAGCCUGAUGCAGCCAUGCCGCGUGUAUGAAGAAGGCCUUCGGGUUGUAAAGUACUUUCAGCGAGGAGGCGUUACUCGCAGAAGAAGCACCGGCUAACUCCGUGCCAGCAGCCGCGGUAAUAC